GUGGCUGUAGCUCAUCAGGUAGAGCGCCAGGUUGUGGACCUGGAGGCGGCGCGGUUCGAGUCCGGCCAGUCACCC
rnacentral:tRNA from 2 species